CACGUAGGGAGCGAGCGUUGUCCGGAUUCAUUGGGCGUAAAGAGCUCGUAGGCGGCUCAGCAAGUCGGGUGUGAAACCUCCAGGCUCAACCUGGAGACGCCACUCGAUACUGCUGUGGCUAGAGUCCAGUAGGGGAGCGUGGAAUUCCUGGUGUAGCGGUGAAAUGCGCAGAUAUCAGGAGGAACACCGGUGGCGAAGGCGGGUCUCUGGGCCGAUACUGACGCUGAGGAGCGAAAGCGUGGGGAGCGAACAGG
rnacentral:rRNA from 1 species